rnacentral:lncRNA from 1 species
UAUACGAUCCGCCGCGGGAAUACAAAAAUGGCUUUAGUUAUCUUCAUCGUAAAAGGACCCUAGGAACCUAAGGAAGCUUUAGUCGCUAAUCACCCAUUGAGAGCAGCUGCUGCUCUUUUCUUCUUCCUCCUCUAGUAGCUCGCCGGGAAAACGAGCUCCAGCAGCUCGCUAGAAUCCAAACGACCACCCUCACCUUAGAAACCAAACCAGCGGCAGGCCUCUUUUCUUCGAGUAGUAGCAGCUCAAACUCAGAUGAGUUUACUCAUUUUUCUCCAUAGUCUUUCCUCAAAUUUUUGACAUGUAAAAGCUUCACUAAAAACCAGUAGAAACAGUCCCUGAAACCUAGUGAAAAAGAGUUUUUCGCACAAAACAGCAGCUCCAACUGACCUAGCAGUUGAAUUUCAAUGGAAGUCAUCUUCGGGGUUGCCGUUGAGGCAUUGAGCCGCCAGUUCUGUUCGAAUUUUCUUUUCCGGUGUGGUUGUGGCUGUUGAAAUUACGGGAGGCCUUGAUAUCCCAUUUUACCCAGGGAGACGGGUUAGUAAC